AGUGCCAGUGGGGAAGGAUCUGUGGUUGGAGUUCCUUUUCUUGUGGAGUCUUUCCUGUAAGCCCCGAUGUUUGGAGGUGGAUGAGCAGCAACCAAGUGUGGUGUUUUCUGCCUCUCAGAGAGAUUUUAGACCUAGUGGGGGUCUAUCUAUCCCCAAGCAGCUGUGGCUGGUGUCUGAUGGAGACCCCUGAGCUUUCACUUGAUUAAACAUUAAAGCCUCAUCUCAUUUCAAGUCAGAAUCCUUAUUCCUACUUCUUGUCAAGGAGAUUUACAGUCCAGCUCUAAGGGCAGCCUGUGACUCCAUGAAGUCGUGGUGUAAGGCAAGACUUGUGAGCACCAAGGAGUGAAGCACCUCAAGCCUCUUUCCCAGGCACGCAGACCCUUGGAUAUUAAACCAACAGAAGAUGUCAAAGCACAACCAAGCUGCUGUGAUAUACGGUGCUCAGAAACACUUCCUCACGUUACGUUUCCUAACCUCAGCCACUUCAAUUCCGCGGCAGAAUGAACCAUGAAGUGCUGCACCAGUGGAUUUAUAGUUUGCCAUGUGAAACUUCAUAGAGAAGACGAGCUCAAGGGGAAAAUGAUUUGUCCUACUGUUGCUUCCCAGUGAGCUUUCACCAUUUCUGUGUUCAGCCGUGGAAUUCUUCCCCAAAAGACAUCUUUGAACUGAAAUUACAUGACAACAGGAAUCCUAAAUCCAAAUCCACUUUAAUGCAGGACUUUUAGGAAUGUGACUGUUUCACUUACUACCUUUACACCUGCUGCUGGUGCAGGGAACAAGCACAAAGAGCAGCCCAGAGGGCAAAGCUGCAGGAAGGACUGCAUUGGCUGUGGAGGGUGGCAAGAGCUGGCUUGGCCGUAGCCCUUCUGGCUGGCCCUGGGUGCUUAGCCUCACUUACCUGGGUGCUCUGGCAAUACUGAUAUGCUUAGAGGCUUUCUUGUACAGGUGAGAUGGAGGAGGGCACAGAACUGCCUCUGAGGAGUCCCUAGGUGCAAGCUUAAAGCCCUUCUACCACAUGACCUCUGUGUUGAGCGAGAGGAGUGGGACCUUGGGUCAUAUCAGGAAAGAGGGAGUAGAGAGUUGCUGUAACGAGAACCAGCUUGGUGUCCUUGUUAGGACUCAGUCCGAGUGCUGUUGAAUCCAAUGAGGAUUUUUGCCUCCAACCUUUCUGUAACUGGCUCUUACUGUCAGCACCGUGGUUUUCCUUCUCAUGCAUUAUGCAGCAAGUUCUGCUUUCUCAUUGUCUUUCCAACGCGUAGUUCAGUGACCUGUUACUAUAACUGAGUUUAGCUACUAAAUGUUAUUUAUCAUAGCAGCUAACAUUAAACACGGAUCAACAGUGAUCAUCAGAGCUUUGUAUUGAUUCCCUUGCAGCCUUGCCCCAUCAGCCUUGCACUGCCUGCUGGCCACAGGGCUGUUCCCUGCCCCAGGGCCAGGCUGCUCUGUGUGCCUCUCUGUGCCAUUGCAGCAGGAGCAGUGCAACUACUUGCAGCGCUGCUGGCAGUCAGGCUGUAUGAGAAUGUUUGGCUUCCAGCAGGUGUCUGGUGGGUGUUCCCCUUUCUGACUCUUCUUCUGAAGAUGUGCAAUGGAGGUACCCUCACAUCAGCUCAUCACCAUGCACGUCUCAGCCAAAACCUCAUUUUCAUUCCAGAAACAGUAAGUCUGUCAAUUCAUUUAACUGCAUAGAAAACACCAAACAAGAAAUAAAGCCCAAUUAAGAACAGAGAAAAGGAAGAAGCUCAGGAUAAUGGAUUGUUUGGGUAAGUGGUUUUGUCAGCUCUGCUCGUGAGCUCUUGCUGUGUGAACUUGCUGGCUUGGGUGCUGGCUCUGGGGUGGUGGAGAACAUGAGGAUCACCUCCCAGGUGCAGCCAAGCCACCAGACCCCAGCUGGCCCUUUCUAUCCUGCUGCUGAACUGCAAUGGGCUGCCUUCUGGCAUAGGCUGGGGAUGGAUGCUGAGCUCAGCUCCUGUGUGCCCAGUGCCCAUUGGGUGGCCUUCUGCCAAGCUGCUCCUGGGGACAGCUCUGUGCUAACAGAUUUCUUGCAUGCUUUCCCUUGACUUUUCUCUUCCUUUCAAGAGAUGACCACUUCAAACAAUGUUUCUGCUUUCUGAUGCAUUAAGACUUGGAAAUUUGCCAUUCAUCACAGCUGUGCGUUUGAGCUCAUGUGAUUAUUUUGGGAAGUGAACCAUGGUGAUUUGUGUGUAUGUGUUUUAUUGGUGAGCAGGAUGUUCCCUAUCUACCUCUCCCUGGCUGUCUGCAUUUGCAUUGGUUAAUAAAAUGGAUAAUGUUCAAUGACUUUCUGAUGGGUGAACAAGAUUUGGCAUACAGGAUGUAGUAGCUUUUCAUGAGGGCUAAAAUUUCAUCCAGGGAGAUUGGCUGCCACAGAAGGUUCAUACACAAUCCAUAAUAACAGAAGCUUUUAACCCAUCCAUAAUUGCUUUCAUAUAGAAAAUGAUUGCUGUAAGUUAACUUCAUAAUUCCAAAUCAGUGGCUCUCAGUAGGAUUUCAGAUGCUUUAAUUUGCCCUGAAUUAUCUGUAGGACUCAUUGCAUUUCAUCUAUGCUCUUUUCUGAUUAUGCUCCUUGUCACUCUGACCCGAACUUUGCCUAUUUAAUUCCGUCCCCCACUGAAAACAGACUAAUUUCCAACGAUACCUCAACAGUGAUAAUGAUUCUGACUCGUGAACAGGGCGGACAAUGGGCUCUACAGCUUUCUCCCUUGGCACCCAACCCUUGCUUUAUCCCUGCAGCGUGCUGCUGACUUGGAUGAAGGCACAGUGGGGUGAGGUUAACUCAAGCAGGGCAAAGACAGCAGAGGCAAAGGUCCUGCAAGGAGGACCAAAGUACAUCACUGCAGGCUCUGUGUGUGCCCAGCACAUGGU